rnacentral:lncRNA from 1 species
CCUACCUCUUCUCUUUUUCUCUGGGACCUAGAGUCAUGAGGCUCAGGUAUCAGACUCAACUCUUUCACGUACUGGCUUUGUGGCCUUGGGAUUUUGUGAAGAGAAAAACCUCAAGAAUCAUGUGCAUGAUAAACCUUCCUCUGUCAAGAUACAACAAAAACAAGCAUAGGAAAGAAAAAAAAGUACUGGGAACAACCAAAGCACAUCCAAAAUACCCCAGUCUCCUACUGAUUGCUACUAGAAAUCAGCAUUCAUCAGAGUUCCCAUGCCUACACUGGGAUCGUACAGCUGAUCGUUCUGACACCCAACUUCUGAAAUUUAACCACUAA